rnacentral:rRNA from 1 species
GGACGAACGCUGGCGGCGUGCUUAACACAUGCAAGUCGAACGCACCUUCGGGUGAGUGGCGGACGGGUGAGUAACGCGUAGGUAAUCUACUCUUCAGUGGGGGAUACCCAGCCGAAAGGUUGGUUAAUACCGCAUACGCUCCUGUGCAGAGAGGUACAGGAGGAAAGGUUUACUGCUGAGGAAUGAGCCUGCGUCCGAUUAGCUAGUUGGUGGGGUAAAGGCUCACCAAGGCGACGAUCGGUAGCUGGUCUGAGAGGACGAUCAGCCACACUGGAACUGAGACACGGUCCAGACUCCUACGGGAGGCAGCAGUGGGGAAUUUUCCGCAAUGGGCGAAAGCCUGACGGAGCAACGCCGCGUAGGUGAUGAAGUUUUUCGGAACGUAAAACCCUUUCGCCAGGGACGAAGCGAGUGACGGUACCUGGAGAAGAAGCAUCGGCUAACUACGUG